rnacentral:snRNA from 1 species
AGAUCACUUGACCCCAGGAGGUCAAGACUGCAGUGAGCUACAAUUGCACAACUGCACUACAACCUGGGUGACAUGG